GGCGGCAUGCCUUACACAUGCAAGUCGAACGCGGAAGGGGGCAACCCUGAGUAGAGUGGCGAACGGGUGAGUAAUGCAUCGGAACGUGUCCUGUAGCGGGGGACAACCCCGAGAAAUCGGGGCUAAUACCGCAUACGUCCUACGGGAGAAAGUGGGGACCGCAAGGCCUCACACUAUAGGGGCGGCCGAUGCCGGAUUAGCUAGUUGGUGAGGUAAAAGCUCACCAAGGCGACGAUCCGUAGCUGGUCUGAGAGGAUGAUCAGCCACACUGGGACUGAGACACGGCCCAGACUCCUACGGGAGGCAGCAGUGGGGAAUUUUGGACAAUGGGCGCAAGCCUGAUCCAGCCAUGCCGCGUGAGUGAAGAAGGCCUUCGGGUUGUAAAGCUCUUUCGGCCGGGACGAAAUCGCUUUCGCUAAUAUCGAGAGUGGAUGACGGUACCGGAAUAAGAAGCACCGGCUAACUACGUGCCAGCAGCCGCGGUAAUACGUAGGGUGCGAGCGUUAAUCGGAAUUACUGGGCGUAAAGCGUGCGCAGGCGGUUUCGCAAGUC
rnacentral:rRNA from 1 species